GACGAACGCUGGCGGCGUGCUUAACACAUGCAAGUCGAACGAUGAAGCUGGAGCUUGCUCCGGUGGAUUAGUGGCGAACGGGUGAGUAACACGUGAGCAAUCUGCCCUUGACUCUGGGAUAACUGCGGGAAACUGUAGCUAAUACCGGAUACUUUCACUGGCAGGCAUCUUCUGGCGAAGAAAGAAUUUCGGUCAAGGAUGAGCUCGCGGCCUAUCAGCUUGUUGGUGAGGUAACGGCUCACCAAGGCGACGACGGGUAGCCGGCCUGAGAGGGUGACCGGCCACACUGGGACUGAGACACGGCCCAGACUCCUACGGGAGGCAGCAGUGGGGAAUAUUGCACAAUGGGCGCAAGCCUGAUGCAGCAACGCCACGUGAGGGAUGAAGGCCUUCGGGUUGUAAACCUCUUUUAGCAGGGAAGAGGCGAAAGUGACGGUACCUGCAGAAAAAGCACCGGCUAACUACGUGCCAGCCGCCGCCGUAA
rnacentral:rRNA from 1 species